CAAAAGACAAAUUUUCGCGUCGAGUCCCUCCGCUCUCCUUCCGCCUUUUUGACUCGAGGGUCGUGAUCAUUGCCGGCGGGAAGAUCGCGGCCAUCUAGAGAAUUCUGCCAUGUCAAACUAUAAAUUAAUUCAGCGCUCGCUUCGAGUUCAGAUGAGUGAGUGCAGCAUCCGCAGAUUCAUGGAUAUGGAGACUUUCGGAGCAGGCACCCUUCUUCGGCUGCUCGUCGCUUUGCUCGGGAUUUCUUGGAUCAUCUGUUCAACUUAUGCAGUACCGGUUACAAGAACUGAAAGCCUAGUGCAAGAGGCUCGAGUUCAUCAAGUUGUAAGCGAUUUGAUCCCGAGGCCAGUGCAGGGAGGAGUUUCGGGUCUAGAAAGUAUCAGUGGAAGGAUGGGCAUCGAGGUCAACGAUUAUCCGGGAUCGGGGGCCAACAAUCGCCACACGCCGACGCCCCAACUAGGGAGAGGUCCUUGAGGAUGCAUUGAAUGUUGAGUUAAGAUGUCUGAGCUAGUAGGUUUGAACGUAGUUCUCGGAUAUGUAGACACAUUGUUUUACAUCUAAGUGCAGUUGUUAACAUAACGAUGUUUCCUCUCUGUACGUAGCUGUAGAAAUUUAUCUUAGCUCUAAGGGGGAACGAUGGAUCUCUGUUGUGGAGAUAUCCCGUAGAAGUUGGAGAAGGCAUGUCAAGAAAUUUCCCAGUCUUUGAUGUCGUAGGACUAGUGACGUGUUCGUUAAUGUCAAUGAGUUUGCCUG